rnacentral:rRNA from 1 species
AGAAUCAACGCUGGCGGCGUGCCUAACACAUGCAAGUCGAACGAGGAAAGGGUAGCAAUACCCUGAGUAAAGUGGCGCACGGGUGAGUAACACGUGACUAACCUACCCUUGAGUGGGGGAUAACUGAGGGAAACCUUAGCUAAUACCGCAUAAUACCCACGGGUCAAAGGAGCAAUUCGCUCGAGGAGGGGGUCGCGGCCGAUUAGUUAGUUGGCGGGGUAAUGGCCCACCAAGACGAUGAUCGGUAU